CGACACACCCGCAGGGUGCACACUCACACCCGCGGCACACACACACGCCUCUGCUCGGUCUGCAGCGCGCCUCGCCGCGGCCUCCCUGCCCCCAGAGAGAGAGGGCCCUGGCGUGAACCUUGCAGUAGGAAUGCGCCUACUCUGGAGUGUUUCAGGACAUCCCCGCCCUGGGCCCUGCCCUUCCUUUCGGGUUUGAGUUUAGAAGGCGGGGAAGUUCUGGGAGGAGUGAGUGAUCUGAGAGGAAUGAACCAGGUCGGGGAAUCCUCCAAGCGACGCCACGUGACUCAUCUUGGCUGCUGUCAGAAACACCCAGCUUGGUUUGGAGCCCUCACUGCCCCUGUGUUCCGGCAACCUUAGUGCUGACUCCUCAUGGGCAGCUCGGCAAGAUGCUCCCGAAUGCUGCUCCCCAGGCCCCAGGUCACAGCCACCAGUCCCUGAAUUUGGAAUGAGAAUGACUAAGUUUGUAUACUCCUGUUCAUUUGGUUUCUUCAUUUGGUCCACAAACCUUUAGGAAUACUCAGUCUAUUUCAGGCUAUGGGGAUUCAGCAGUUAAAGAAUCAGUGCUGGGGUUGGUGUUGUAGCACAGAUUAAACCAAGGCCUGCAGUGCUCGUGUCUCAUAAGGACGCUGGUUGGAGUCCCAGCUGCCCCGCUUCCCAGACAGCUCCCUGCCAACGCACCUGGGAAAGCAACAGAAGAUGGCUCAAGUGCUCCAUGUGGGAGACCUGGAAGAAGCUCCUGGCUCCUGGCUUUGGCCAGUCCUAGUCAUUGUAGCCAUUUGGGAGUGUGAACCAGCAGAUGGAAGAUCUCUCUGUCUCUCUAACUCUGCCUUUCAAAGUAAGUAAAUAAAUAAAUCUUUAAGAAAAAAGAAAUUCAGUCUCUCCCUUCAAAGAGCCCCAGGUAAAAUCCCGUGUGAUUAGUGAGUGGCGGAGGAUCCUGUCAGUGCUAGAAUGUUGAGGAGGGGCUUCCAGGUCCCUUUGGACAGAUCACAGAAUGAUUUCUGGAAAAGGCAACGUUUGCUAGAAAUUUAAAAACUAACAGUUAUUGUGACAUUUCAACCUAUAAAUUCUUAUGAUCUGAUUGUAGAAGGCUUGGACAAUGUAGCAGUUUCAGAAAGAAAAUAAAAUCAUUUGUAAACGCAUGAA